UACGUAGGGGGCAAGCGUUGUCCGGAAUCAUUGGGCUUAAAGCGUGUGUAGGCGGAUCGGUAAGUACCUUGUGAAAUCCCACAGCUUAACUGUGGAACUGCUUGGUAUACUGCCAGUCUUGAGCCACUUAGGGGCUACCGGAACAAAUGGUGGAGCGGUGAAAUGCGUAGAUAUCAUUUGGAACGCCAAUGGUGAAAACAGGUAGCUGGGAGUGUGCUGACGCUGAGACACGAAAGCCAGGGGAGCAAACGGG
rnacentral:rRNA from 1 species